UACGGGGGGGGGCAAGCGUUGUUCGGAAUUACUGGGCGUAAAGGGCUCGUAGGUGGCCAACUAAGUCAGACGUGAAAUCCCCUCGGCUUAACCGGGGAACUGCGUCUGAUACUGGAUGGCUUGAGAUUGGGAGAGGGAUGCGGAAUUCCAGGUGUAGCGGUGAAAUGCGUAGAUAUCUGGAGGAACACCGGUGGCGAAGGCGGCAUCCUGGACCGACACUGACACUGAGGAGCGAAAGCCAGGGGAGCAAACGGG
rnacentral:rRNA from 1 species